GUCAUAUCAUUAUGCAUUAUGCCAGGAGAAAUGCUUACAUUAAUGCUUAGCCAGUAGUGGCAUGCAGAGAUCUGGAGAUGUGCGGUGCAAUCUCCUUGAUUUUCAUGCCCACCACCCCCAAGUAUGAGACUGACUAUAGUGAACGCUCAGACAUUGUUGGUGAUUCGGCAAGUGCAAAUCCGCCAAUUUGCAGUUUUUUUUUGGCGGAAGCUAGUCUCAGUUUUUGCUCUCAGGCCAAAGCCAUGUCUAAGAUAGGAAUAUUGCUUGGGCACUGUCUGUUGGCAUCUUAAUUUUUGAAAAGGGACAGUGUCCAUUAAUUACUAUUUUAUUAAAUGUAAAAGCACCCGAGUUGACUGAAAGGCUAGUUUUUGUUGGCGGUCCGUUUGCCUGAUGUUACAGCCGAGGAUAAAUAAUAAAAACACAAAACAAAACAAGAGUAUAACAUGCACAACAAAUAAAACUCCAUUUUCAAUAAAAACAUACAAUAUAUUUAAUGACAAAUUUAGACACUAGGAAUGGAACGUUCUUUUAAAACCCGUCUAAACUGUUCAGUUCUACUGUUUUGGUUCGGUCCGAAUGUGUCCCGUUCGGUUCGUCGGCACUCGCACUCUUUUUGGGGAAGCUGCGAACAGUAGCGCUCGUCAAGGCACAAUCUGCGGUUCAUCCACUAUCUGCGUGGACAUGCAAACCACGUCGGCCAUCUUUGUUCGCUAACUCCGGCAACGACGUUAGGAUGAAAUGCAGGAUUUGCGGUCUGUGGUGCGCUUGUAUCGAGAUAAAUAGAUGAUAGGGGUGAAACAGUUCACAGAAUCCACGGUUUGGUUCGUAUCUUGGUUUUCUGGUGACGGUUUUCGAUUCGGUUCAGUAUAUGUCGUAUAUUGUAUAUUUCAUAUGAUCCAUCCAUCCAUUUUCCGUACCACUUAUCCUCACUCGUCGUGGGCGAGAGGCGCGUUACACCCUGAACUGGCGACCAGUGUGAAUGUGAGUCCGCAUGUUUUUUUUGUUUAUAUGGUGUGGUGUACGUAUGGUGUGACAUGUACAGUCCCCUCCAAAAGUAUUGGAACGGCAAUGUCAAUUCCUUUGGUUUUGUUGUAUACUGAAGACAUUUGGGCUUCAGAUCAAAAGGUGAAUACGAGACAAAAGUUCAGAAUUCCAGCUUUUAUUUCAUGGUAUUUACAUCUAGAUGUGUUGAAAAAAGAGAACUCAGGACGGAGCACCUCUUAUUUGAAAGCACCCACUUUUCAAGGGAGCGAUAGUACUGGGACAGACAUUAUUACCAACAAAAUCUUUUCGCACAUUCAACAACAACAAGCCGUGGUUCACCGCUAAACUUAAGCAGCUUCGGCAAGCGAAGGAGGACGCAUAUCAGAGCGGGGACAGGGCCCUGUAUAAUCCAGCUAGAAACCAGCUGACUAAAGAAAUUAACAUUGCAAAAAGAGGCAAAGUUGCAAAAACAGUUUAGCGCAAACGACUCUAAAUCAGUCUGCCAUGAAUUACAAGCGACGAUCCCCCCAAGCUGAGAACAAUAGCACACUAGCCAACGACUGGAAGAGCUUCUACUGCAGAUUUGAAAAGGACACUUUCACACCCCACACCCACCCGGCCACAAUCACACCUCUGACUUCUGCGUUAACCAUCCACAAACAGGAUAUGAGACGCAUCUUCAAACAACAAAAGAUGAACAAAGCGCCAGGCCCGGACCACGUGUCCCCAUCCCGCCUCAGUCUGCGCGGACCGGCUCGCUCCAAUCUUCACUCAGAUCUUCAACAGAUCUCUGGAAAUGUGCGAAGUUCCAUCCUGUUUCAAACGCUCCACCAUCAUUCCAGUCCCCAAGAAACCUGCAAUCUCGGGUCUGAAUGACAACAGGCCUGUCGCUUUGACAUCUGUGGUCAUGAAGUCCUUUGAACGUCUCGUGCCGGACCGCCUCAAGAGCGUCACAGGUCCCCCUCUGGACCCCCUGCGGUUUGCCUACCGAGCGAACAGGUCUGCGGAUGAUGCGGUCAACAUGGGACCGCGCUUCAUCCUAGAACACCUCGACAGAGCAGGGACCUACGCGAGGAUCCUGUUCGUGGACUUCAGCUCAGCGUUCAACACCAUCAUCCCCGAACUCCUUUCCUCCAAGCUUCUCCAGCUCAGCGUCUCGCCUGCCAUCUCCCAGUGGAUUUACAGCUUUCUGACGGGCAGGACACAGCAGGCGAGGAUGGGGGAGGCCACCUCAUCCGCACGCAGCAUCAUCACCGGGGCGCCCCAAGGCCGUGUCCUCUCUCCGCUGCUCUUCUCUCUCUACACGAACGACUGCACCUCAGCGAACCCGACUGUCAAACUCCUGAAGUUUGCAGAUGACACCGCUGUCAUCGGCCUCAUCGAGGACGGUGACGAGUCUGCGUAUCGACAGGAAGCGGAGCGGCCGGAGCUGCGGUGCGGCCGACGCGACCCGGAGCUGAACACGCUCGAGACCGUAGAGAUGAUCGUGGAUUUCAGGAGGCAUCCUUCGCCACAGCUGCCCCUCAGGUUGUCCAGCCGCCUUGUGUCAACCGUCGAGACCUUCGAGUUCCUGGGAAUUACAAUCUCCCAGGACCUGAAGUGGGCGACUAACAUCAACUCCGUCCUCAAAAAGGCCCAGCAGAGGAUGUACUUCCUGCGGCUUCUGAGAAAGCACGGCCUGCCACCGGAGCUGCUGAGACAGUUCUACACAGCGGUGGUCGAAUCGGUCCUGUGUUCUUCCAUCACAGUCUGGUUUGGUGCUGCUACAAAAAGGACAAACUCCGACCGCGACGGACAAUCAAAACUGCUGAAAGGAUUGUCGGUACCCCCCUACCCACCCUUGAGGACUUGCACGCUGCCAGAACUAAGACAAGGGCGUGCAAAAUCCUCUCGGACCCUACGCACCCCGGUCACCAGCUCUUCCGGCUCCUUCCUUCAGGUAGGCGCUACCGAUCAAUGCAAACUAGAACUAGCAGACAUUCCAACAGCUUCUUCCCUCUUGCGAUCAACUUCUUAAGCACCUAACCUACAAUUCCAUUACAAAAUGCUGGGGAGAGGGUUUGGGUCUGGGUUUCCCUGCUAAGGCCACUUCCCCUGUAACCCACCUCGGAUAAGCGAAAGAAAAUUAAUGAAUGUGUGAAUGGGGAAUAUAGUAAAAUAGAAAAAAUGUGAUUGUUAUUGAAAUAUAAUAAUGAUAGAAAUUGUACAUUUGUUGUAGUUCUACUGUUGAAGCCUACGUCAUAGAAUGCUAGUUUUUGUUUGGAAUGCUACCUAUUGUCCAGGUAUGGCUACUGCACUUUGAGGUGUGCACACCUUGCAUGGGUCAAGGGUUAAAAGGAAGAUGGCCACCUCAAGUGGUGUAUGUGGACUCAGGCCCACUGGCGAGAUAAGGUUUUUCAACACUUUAUUUUAACAUUUGCUGCAUUAUUUUGGAAGAUCAGUAUUGUCUGUAUGUUCUCAACAUAUCAUGACCCUAUUUCCCAUCCAUAACCUGGUUCCUGACCUCGCCUGAACAAACAAAUGCGGAGCGGCUGGAGCUGUGGUGCGGCCGACACAACCUGGAGCUGAACACGCUCAAGACUGUAGAGAUGAUCGUGGACUUCAGGAGGCAUCCUUCGCCACAGCUGCCCCUCACGCUGUCCAGCUGCCUUGUGUCAACCGUCGAGACCUUCAAGUUCCUGGGAAUUACAAUCUCCCAGGACCUGAAGUGGGCGACCAACAUCAACUCCGUCCUCAAAAAGGCCCAGCAGAGGAUGUACUUCCUGCGGCUUCUGAGAAAGCACGGCCUGCCACCGGAGCUGCUGAGACAGUUCUACACAGCGGUCAUCGAAUCAGUCCUGUGUUCUUCCAUCACAGUCUGGUUUGGUGCUGCUACAAAAAAGGACAAACUCCGACUGCAACGGACAAUCAAAACUGCUGAAAGGAUUGUCGGUACCCCCCUACCCACCCUUGAGGACUUGCACGCUGCCAGAACUAAGACAAGGGCGUGCAAAAUCCUCUCGGACCCUCCGCAUCCCGGUCACCAGCUCUUCCAGCUCCUUCCCUCAGACGAGAGUCCGAACGGAGAAACCAUUCACUGGCUCGUCACGCUGACAUACUCGCUGCUGUGGAGACGCGCCUUUCUCUCCUUAACAUGACGUUCAUGAAAUAUGUUGACUCCAACCU